AGUGAACGCUGGCGGUAGGCCUAACACAUGCAAGUCGAACGGCAGCACAGUAAGAGCUUGCUCUUACGGGUGGCGAGUGGCGGACGGGUGAGGAAUACAUCGGAAUCUACUUUUUCGUGGGUGAUAACGUAGGGAAACUUACGCUAAUACCGCAUACGACCUACGGGUGAAAGCAGGGGAUCUUCGGACCUUGCGCGAUUGAAUGAGCCGAUGUCGGAUUAGCUAGUUGGCGGGGUAAAGGCCCACCAAGGCGACGAUCCGUAGCUGGUCUGAGAGGAUGAUCAGCGACACUGGAACUGAGACACGGUCCAGACUCCUACGGGAGGCAGAAGUGGGGAAUAUUGGAAAAUGGGCGGAAGACUGAUCCAGCCAUACCGCGUGGGUGAAGAAGGCCUUCGGGUUGUAAAGCCCUUUUGUUGGGAAAGAAAAGCAGCAGGUUAAUACCCCGCUGUUCUGACGGUACCCAAAGAAUAAGCACCGGCUAACUUCGUG
rnacentral:rRNA from 1 species